rnacentral:misc_RNA from 1 species
GAUGAAGAACGCAGCGAAAUGCGAUAAGUAGUGUGAAUUGCAGAAUUCAGUGAAUCAUCGAAUCUUUGAACGCACAUUGCGCCCCUCGGCAUUCCGUGGGGCAUACCUGUUCGAGCGUCAUUUCAACCCUCAGGCCCCCCUUCGCGGGCGGGCCUGGUGUUGGGGCCCGGCCGCUACCCUGCGGCCGUCCCCUAAAUCCAGUGGCGGCCUCGCCGUGAUCCCUUGCGUAGUAAUGCACCUCGCACCGGAGAGCGCCGUGGCCACGCCGUAAAACCCCCAAUUUUCAAUGGUUGACCUCGGAUCAGGUGGGAAUACCCGCUGAACUUAAGCAUAUCAAUAAGCGGAGGA